ACUCAACGCGAAUUUUUUUAUAAAGGGUGAGUCAUUGCUGCUAAAGCGCGCCUUUACGGAUUCUUGAUCAGCGUGUUAGCCUUAAUCUUGUUUUAUAAGAGUUU
rnacentral:sRNA from 1 species